AGUCGAGGGGAAACGACAUCGAAAGCUUGCUUUUGAUGGGCGUCGACCGGCGCACGGGUGAGUAACGCGUAUCCAACCUGCCCACCACUUGGGGAUAACCUUGCGAAAGUAAGACUAAUACCCAAUGACGUCUCUAGAAGACAUCUGAAAGGGAUUAAAGAUUUAUCGGUGAUGGAUGGGGAUGCGUCUGAUUAGCUUGUUGGCGGGGUAACGGCCCACCAAGGCUACGAUCAGUAGGGGUUCUGAGAGGAAGGUCCCCCACAUUGGAACUGAGACACGGUCCAAACUCCUACGGGAGGCAGCAGUGAGGAAUAUUGGUCAAUGGACGAGAGUCUGAACCAGCCAAGUAGCGUGCAGGAUGACGGCCCUAUGGGUUGUAAACUGCUUUUAUAAGGGAAUAAAGUGAGCCUCGUGAGGCUUUUUGCAUGUACCUUAUGAAUAAGGACCAGCUAAUUCCGUGCCAGCAGCCGCGGUAAUACGGAAGGUCCGGGCGUUAUCCGGAUUUAUUGGGUUUAAAGGGAGCGUAGGCCGGAGAUUAAGCGUGUUGUGAAAUGUAGAUGCUCAACAUCUGCACUGCAGCGCGAACUGGUUUCCUUGAGUACGCACAAAGUGGGCGGAAUUCGUGGUGUAGCGGUGAAAUGCUUAGAUAUCACGAAGAACUCCGAUUGCGAAGGCAGCUCACUGGAGCGCAACUGACGCUGAAGCUCGAAAGUGCGGGUAUCGAACAGGAUUAGAUACCCUGGUAGUCCGCACGGUAAACGAUGGAUGCCCGCUGUUGGUCUGAAUAGGUCAGCGGCCAAGCGAAAGCAUUAAGCAUCCCACCUGGG
rnacentral:rRNA from 1 species